AUGCGGCCCAUUACUUCUCCCCUAGUCUCUCGAGUCUUCCCAGCCACUCACGCCUACAACCUUCUUCCCCUAAUCUGCGUAUUUUUUUCAUUGUUAGGCUUCGAAAGUUCACAAACUCCCAACUCAUCACAUACUCAGUUUCAAUCCAACGAUUCAUGUUCCUAAAGAUGGCUGCUUUGAUUCUGCAAUGUAUGGAAAAAACAGAUGGGAAUUAAUUUUGGCAUGAAUCUAGUUUUGAUUUGAUAAUUACAGUAGCAGCUUGAUAUUGAGCUCGAGCUCGAGUUCAGCUCGGUAAAUUAAACGAGUUAGCCGAGUCAAACUCGAGUUUGCUUACUUAAGUUCGAGUCGAGCUCGGACAGUGAUGUGGUAGCUGGAGCCGAGCUUGAGCCAACCUGUAAACUGAUCGAGCUCGAACAACCCAUUACUCGGCUCGGCUUGACUCAUCGACAGCCCUAGUCACGCCUGUAUUUAAUUUUUUCCACCCAGUCUAAAAAGUCUCUUUAUUGGCACUAUACCAAUUCAAAGUCACGGUCAAGGACCCAGAUCUCACAAAUCUCUCUCUCAUGCUCUACAGUCUACUCUCUCUCCAUCUCUGUAUAUCUGUAUCUCUCAUUCCUCCUCACCGUCGGCGGCCGAUCAUGUCACUCAUCUCACUACAGACACCGCCGAGACCGCCGGACCUGACAUUCAAGAUUGGGUUUAUAUCUCGUUUGGCAUGGGAGGUGUAGGAAAGGUAUAUAAUAAUUUAUUUGUUUAAUUUUUAAUUGCAAUUUAUUGCUCAUAUAGAAUGUCUUAUUGAAUUUAUAUGAGUAGAAUUCUUAGUGUGUUGAUCUUGUGUCCCAAAAUUUUAUAAUCAAACAUUUUUGUUAAUUAAAGUAGUGUUGCACAUAUCAUUUUAGUACGAUUUUAAUACACUAAUAUUUAGAUCCAAUAUGUAUCAGUUUUAAAUUUGGAAUAGUUUUUUUUUUUUUUUUUAAAAUUAAUUUAUAAUUUGCCAACUCCUUUCAUAUGAAGUUAAUCCUUUCUUUAUAAUAUUUUAAAAUAGUUUAUUAUAGGGGUGUUUUGUGAAGUUAAUUCUUUCUUUCUGAUAUUUUAUACUAUUAUAGUUUUGUUAAAUUUUUUGUGUUUAUUUAGUUGGACAAAUGUGUCAUUGCUAAUAUUACACUAUAAAGUGUUCAAUUAGCAUUAUCAAGCGUCACAGAAAAAUACCAAUUGUCAUUUAGAUUGCUAGAAAGACUAUCAAAUCAAUCAUAUAUCCUGUUACAUUGGUGUGCCUACUGCCUAUGAGCAUUUAGGUUCUCAAGUAAGCAGUAAUCAAAUUUUUUUAAAAAUAGUACUCCCUGACUGGAGGACUAUAAUUUUUCUUUUUCUAUUUUAUUUUUUGUGGUAGGAGAAUGACAAAUAUUCUUCUUGAAAGGCAUGAAAAUGGUUUUGUCACAGUAAAGGAAUGGGAAGAUACUGACAUUUUUGUGGUAAUGGAUAAGGUCAUUCUGGUAUUGCCAAUCCAGGGGUUUCUUAAAGGGAAAGAGAGGACUCCAGUCCGGUUAUCAUUUCUUGAGAGAUUUUACUUGGUUUUCAAAUAUUAUUGAGAAAAUGUUUAAUAUGCAACCAACAGCUGAUGUGACCGAUUUUAUUCAGCUACUGCGGGACCCCACCGAAGUAUACAAAGAGAUGCACAUAAAGACACAUGCAUGUCUUUUCAAUAGUGAAAAAGACGAAGAGAGGCUGUGGACUGUUUUUUCAUGUGCUUAAUGACCACGUCCAAUACCCAACAAAAUCUUCAAAAGUUAAAACUGGUUUAAAUCAGGAUAUGUCCAAUACUCAGCAAAAUCUUCAAAGCUGGUUUAAAUCAGGAUAUAUUUAAUUCGUUUGUUGUUAGUGGACGCAUGAUCCAAAAUUGAGACUCCUUUAUUGUAUCGUCACCAUAAGGGGCAAACACUAGUGCCCCAAACAAAAAUAAUAUAUUAUUUUGUUAUAUUUUCUUAUAUCCAAUCAA